GGGGAAUAUUGGGCAAUGGGCGCAAGCCUGACCCAGCAACGCCGCGUGAGGGAAGAAGGUUUUCGGAUUGUAAACCUCUGUCGCAGAUGACGAAGGAAGUGACGGUAAUCUGUGAGGAAGCCCCGGCUAACUACGUGCCAGCAGCCGCGGUAAUACGUAGGGGGCGAGCGUUGUCCGGAAUUACUGGGCGUAAAGGGAGCGUAGGCGGCCGAUUAAGUUGGAUGUGAAAUCCCCGGGCUUAACUUGGGUGGUGCAUCCAAUACUGGUUGGCUAGAGUACAGGAGAGGAAAGCGGAAUUCCUGGUGUAGCGGUGAAAUGCAUAGAUAUCAGGAGGAACAUCGGUGGCGAAGGCGGCUUUCUGGACUGACACUGACGCUGAGGCUCGAAAGCGUGGGGAGCAAACA
rnacentral:rRNA from 1 species